GCCUACGGCCGUACUACCCUGAAUGCGUCUGAUCUCGGAAGCUAAGCAGGGUCAGGCCUGGUUAGUACGUGGAUGGGAGACUGCCUGGGAAUACCGGGUGCUGUAGGCU
rnacentral:rRNA from 1 species